rnacentral:lncRNA from 1 species
GCCUGUGUUACUUUCAUUGUCGAAUCGUCUGCAGCACAAACAAGAACAAAUUCUAUUUCAACGACCAAAAAAUAUGACAAGAAUAUCAGCAAUACCAUUACAAGAGGUACGAGCACAACAAGACUAAUUGUUUCGCAUUUUGAACAAAAACUCUUACACAGUGGUUUAGAUGGAUUAACCGAGGAUAUCGAAGGAACAUCGGACACCUCUUGACAUGUAAAACAAGUAUCACAACAUGUACAUUCACACCAAUCGUCUUCUUGAUGCGUUAGAUCACCAGGACAACAACGAAGGAUGCAACAAAAACAAUUCCUUUCACAAGAAAUACACCUACCGCAAGUGCAUUCGAAAACAUCAG